rnacentral:lncRNA from 1 species
GGGCCUACAUCCGCUCCGCCGCGACGCGGCUCACAAACUAGGGAGGGGAGAAGGGAAGAAAGACCCGAUUCGGGAACACGGCUUUGUCCCUGGAACUGUACCUCAUGUCCCCUCACUUAAUCCUCCCAAGACCUGUGGGGCGUGUCGUCAUUUUAGGGCUGGAGAUGAGGAAACCGAGGCUCGGAGAGAUGAAGCGUUGUACGGCCACCGAGCGGCUGCUUUGCAACGAAGCCAAAGCCAACGUUUUGUUCUUAGCGGCGGUCGUUUGAGCCACGCCUCACCGCAACGAGUCUGCCAUCAGCCAAGAGAUGGAGUGAAGGUACCUGAGCGCAGGAACCAUGGUCUUCAUUGCUGCCUCAGCAUUAGCGGAAGUGCCACGGGCCGGCUCCCAGGGGGCCAGAGUUUCCCAGGAACACCAUUGAGUACCACUGAACUAGAGUCUGCAAGUUAAAAGAGAACUUACUUGAAGGUCGAUGUUUUCUCUUGCUGAUUCCAUCUCGCUGCCCUCAAGUCCCUUCACACGCACCGGGUGCCGGGAACAGACUGCGUGGGCUCCUCCAGGCUCCGCCGUCUGAGUCUCUGCUGCUUUCUUCGGGUGGGAGAGAGCACACAGCUGGCGGGACAGACCUGCCAUUCAUCCCUCUGAUGUGGGAUGCCCGUCUUGGCUGCAGCCUCUGGGGGAGGUGUGCACCUGCACACACGUGUGAGUGUAUGUGUGUGCACAUGUGUGUGCUCCAGGAGGUGGCACAUGGCACACUGAUAGGUGACCUUUUGAGUUGGUAGUGACAGCAUCAUUUUCACCAGUGGCUCCAGUGACCUUCCAGUCCCAGCGGAGCCAUCUGAGGUCACCCAGCCUGCUUUGAGCUAGUAGCUUUAUGACUGGCAAAGAAAUCCUGCAUGUUUAUCAAGCAAAUUGAAAAACAGCCUGAGGACAACGCUAUCUGACUUCACCGCUGGGUCCAGUCCCCAGUCGCCACGGGUGGAGUGACCUCCAGCACAGUCUCAAUACUGAGGCAGAGGGAUUUCCGUUGUUCUUUGCUUUGUUCCCUAUAUCCCUAAAAGUUUUUAAAAAAAUUGUAGUUUACCUAAUAGGCUCCAAAGCAUAGGCUUUGUUCUGCAAAGUGAGUGAACAAUACGUUUUUACUGACGGAUUGUUUGAUUCCUUCAACUCCUCCCUUGAUUAGCCAUAGAGGGAGCAGGGAGUAGUUGUACCUUCGAAGCUUGUUUAUGCAAACAGUGGUAUUCUCCCUACUUUUAAAAUAAAAUUACCAGGAGGGAGUCUUUUUUUAGAAAGUUUUUUUUUUCCUCUCCUGUUUACCUUAGAGCCCAAAA